AUUUCUGAUUGACUGAGUGGCGGACGGGUGAGUAACGCGUGGAUAACCUGCCUCACACUGGGGGAUAACAGUUAGAAAUGACUGCUAAUACCGCAUAAGCGCACAGUGCUGCAUGGCACAGUGUGAAAAACUCCGGUGGUAUGAGAUGGACCCGCGUCUGAUUAGCUGGUUGGUGAGGUAACGGCCCACCAAGGCGACGAUCGGUAGCCGGACUGAGAGGUUGAACGGCCACAUUGGGACUGAGACACGGCCCAGACUCC
rnacentral:rRNA from 1 species